rnacentral:piRNA from 1 species
UUGGUUAAAGAUUAGACUGUUUAGCGGUGU